AUGGAUCAGUCACGGAAAAAGUCUUUAGAAAGAUAAACUGUAGAAAGGUAAAAAGAUGUUUUUUCAGGAAGGAAGCUAAUUUGUUAAAAAAAAAAAACACACAAAAACCAAAGUUUUCAAACCUUUCUCCCCAACCGUGAGAACUGGAAAUUCAGUGAGGAAAACGCGUCUCGCUGACGGCACGAUUGCCAGGCCGGGUCCUUCCACGCCGGAUGUCGUGAUAAAAUCGUGCGAGACGGCAGCUAGGGACAGCUGCAGCCGACCGAGUACACCCAGACGGCCGCAGCCGAAGAGCCUGCCCCAACGAGCAGGACCUGCGAGACCACCCCGUCGCCCGGCAGGAGCCUCCUUCCAGCCCGGAGCAAACACAUGUGGAAAGCCUGAGCCGGCUCCCCUGCCCUCUGCAGCCUCCUUCCCCGGGGACACCAUGGACACCGAAGCCGUGCAGCCCCAGGAGGCCUCGCUGACGGUCAACGAGCAGGUCAUCGUGAUGUCCAGCCACGAGACGAUCCGUGUGCUGGAGGUCGGCGUGGACGCCCCGCUCCCGGCCGAGGAGGACCGGAAAGCCUUGGA
rnacentral:lncRNA from 1 species